rnacentral:rRNA from 1 species
CAAUAGCGUAUAUUAAAGUUGUUGCAGUUAAAAAGCUCGUAGUUGGAUUUCUGUUCAAGACGUCCGGUCCACUUUUAGUGAGUACCAGGUUCGACUUGGACAUUUUCUUGUGGAACGCACUGCUAUUAAUUUAGUGGUGUGGAACGCAGGACUUUUACUUUGAGAAAAUUAGAGUGUUUCAAGCAAGCUUUUGCUUUGAAUACUGCAGCAUGGAAUAAUACUAUAGGACUCCGGUUCUAUUUGUUGGUUUCUAGGACUGAAGUAAUGAUUAAUAGGGACAGUUGGGGGCACUCGUAUUUAACUGUCAGAGGUGAAAUUCUUGGAUUUGUUAAAGACGAACUACUGCGAAAGCAUUUGCCAAGGAUGUUUUCAUUAA